rnacentral:rRNA from 1 species
UACGUAGGGGGCAAGCGUUGUCCGGAAUUACUGGGCGUAAAGCGCGUGUAGGCGGGACGGCAAGUCUGGCGUGAAAUCCCCGGGCUCAACCCGGGAACUGCGUCCGAUACUGGCGGGCUUGAAUCCGGGAGAGGGAUGCGGAAUUCCAGGUGUAGCGGUGAAAUGCGUAGAUAUCUGGAGGAACACCGGUGGCGAAGGCGGCAUCCUGGACCGGCAUUGACGCUGAGGCGCGAAAGCCAGGGGAGCAAACGGG